rnacentral:rRNA from 1 species
ACGCUGGCGGCGUGCCUAAUACAUGCAAGUCGAACGCCUUGUGGUUUUAAUGAAUAGCGUGCUUGCACAAUAUGAUUUAAAACAAUGCAAGGAGUGGCGAACGGGUGAGUAACACGUGGGAAACCUACCUCUUAGCAGGGGAUAACAUUUGGAAACAGAUGCUAAUACCGUAUAAUACUAAAAACCGCAUGGUUUUUAUUUGAAAGAUGGUUCUGCUAUCACUAAGAGAUGGUCCCGCGGUGCAUUAGUUAGAUGGUGAGGUAAUGGCUCACCAUGACGAUGAUGCAUAGCCGAGUUGAGAGACUGAUCGGCCACAAUGGGACUGAGACACGGCCCAUACUCCUACAGGAGGCAGCAGUAGGGAAUCUUCCACAAUGGGCGCAAGCCUGAUGGAGCAACGCCGCGUGUGUGAUGAAGGGUUUCGGCUCGUAAAGCACUGUUGUAAGAGAAGAAUGUACUUGAGAGUAACUGUUCAAGUAGUGACGGUAUCUUACCAGAAAGGGACGGCUAAAUACGUGCCAGCAGCCGCGGUAAUACGUAUGUCCCAAGCGUUAUCCGGAUUUAUUGGGCGUAAAGCGAGCGCAGACGGUUAUUUAAGUCUGAAGUGAAAGCCCUCAGCUCAACUGAGGAAUUGCUUUGGAAACUGGAUGACUUGAGUGCAGUAGAGGAAAGUGGAACUCCAUGUGUAGCGGUGAAAUGCGUAGAUAUAUGGAAGAACACCAGUGGCGAAGGCGGCUUUCUGGACUGUAACUGACGUUGAGGCUCGAAAGUGUGGGUAGCAAAC